rnacentral:rRNA from 1 species
CCCUUAGAUGUUCUGGGCCGCACGCGCGCUACACUGAUGCAUUCAACGAGACUAAAACCUGCUCUGAUAGGGGUGGGUAAUCUUUUGAAUGUGCAUCGUGAUUGGGAUAGAUGAUUGCAAUUUUUCAUCUUCAACGAGGAAUGCCUAGUAAACGCAAGUCAUCAGCUUGCAUUGAUUACGUCCCUGCCCUUUGUACACACCGCCCGUCGCUCCUACCGAUUGAAUGAUCCGAUGAAUAUCAUGGAUUGAGGAUGCAAGUAGGUUCGCCUAUCUUCAUCUUCGAGAAGUGAAGUAAAUCUUAUCAUUUAGAGGAAGGAGAAGUCGUAACA